GAUGAAGAACGUAGCGAAAUGCGAUAAGUAAUGUGAAUUGCAGAUUUCAGUGAAUCAUCGAAUCUUUGAACGCACCUUGCGCUCCUUGGUAUUUCCGAGGAGCAUGCCUGUUUGAGUGUCAUUAAAUUCUCAACUCUCCAACUGUUGUCAUGACUGGUGGUAGAGCUUGGACGUGAGGGUUCUGCCGGCUCCUUGUUGAGUCUGGCUCCCUUGAAAAUGAUUAGCGCAGCUUUGCACUGUCCGCUUCAGGUGUGAUAAUUUAUCUACGCCCGACUAGCGACGCGCAUGAAUGGCUUUGUGCUUCUAACCGUCUCGAAAGAGACAAUACCUUUUGAACUUGACCUCAAAUCAGGUAGGACUACCCGCUGAACUUAAGCAUAUCAAUAAGCGGAGGA
rnacentral:misc_RNA from 1 species